rnacentral:rRNA from 1 species
UACGGAGGGUGCGAGCGUUGUCCGGAAUCACUGGGCGUAAAGGGCGCGUAGGCGGCUCGUCAAGCGUGGGGUGAAAGCCCGGGGCUCAACUCCGGAAUUGCCUUUAAGACUGCAUCGCUAGAACGUCGGAGAGGUAAGUGGAAUUCCGAGUGUAGAGGUGAAAUUCGUAGAUAUUCGGGAAGAACACCAGUGGCGAAGGCGACUUACUGGACGACUGUUGACACUGAGGUGCGAAAGCGUGGGGAGCAAACAGG